GAUGAACGCUGGCGGCGUGCUUAACACAUGCAAGUCGAACGAAGCACCUUAUUCUGAUUUCUUCGGAAUGAAAAAUUUGGUGACUGAGUGGCGGACGGGUGAGUAACGCGUGGGUAACCUGCCUCAUACAGGGGGAUAACAGUUAGAAAUGACUGCUAAUACCGCAUAAGACCACAGCACCGCAUGGUGCAGGGGUAAAAACUCCGGUGGUAUGAGAUGGACCCGCGUCUGAUUAGGUAGUUGGUGGGGUAACGGCUUACCAAGCCGACGAUCAGUAGCCGACCUGAGAGGGUGACCGGCCACAUUGGGACUGAGACACGGCCCAAACUCCUACGGGAGGCAGCAGUGGGGAAUAUUGCACAAUGGGGGAAACCCUGAUGCAGCGACGCCGCGUGAGCGAUGAAGUAUUUCGGUAUGUAAAGCUCUAUCAGCAGGGAAGAAAAUGACG
rnacentral:rRNA from 1 species